UACGAAGGGUGCAAGCGUUAAUCGGAAUUACUGGGCGUAAAGGGUGCGUAGGCGGUUGUUUAAGUCUGUCGUGAAAUCCCCGGGCUCAACCUGGGAAUGGCGAUGGAUACUGGGCAGCUAGAGUGUGUCAGAGGAUGGUGGAAUUCCCGGUGUAGCGGUGAAAUGCGUAGAGAUCGGGAGGAACGUCAGUGGCGAAGGCGGCCAUCUGGGACAACACUGACGCUGAAGCACGAAAGCGUGGGGAGCAAACAGG
rnacentral:rRNA from 1 species